UACGAAGGUCCCGAGCGUUAUCCGGAUUUAUUGGGUUUAAAGGGUGCGUAGGCGGGUUAUUAAGUCAGUGGUGAAAGCCUACAGCUUAACUGUAGAAUUGCCAUUGAUACUGAUGAUCUUGAGUAUGAUUGAGGUGGGCGGAAUGUGUCAUGUAGCGGUGAAAUGCUUAGAUAUGACACAGAACACCGAUUGCGAAGGCAGCUCACUAAGUCAUAACUGACGCUGAUGCACGAAGGCCAGGGGAGCAAACGGG
rnacentral:rRNA from 1 species